CAAAAGGUAAAACAUCUCUGAUUUGUUCUGUUUGGACAAAGAAACCUUAUAAUCAAGACAGUUUUAAAGCACAGAUGAAAAGCAUAUGGAAAACAAAGGAAAAAUUUGAGAUUCAAUCAGCAGGGCAAAAUCUCUUUCUAAUAAGUUUUGAAUUAGAGGACGACUUAGAAGCUGUUCUGGAAGGCCAACCAUGGUUGUUUAGAAAACAUUUAGUUCUUUUUGAAAGAUUGAUAAAACCAAUGGAAAGAGAUCAAAUCAGACUUGUCUCAUCCCCGUUUUAGGUUAGAAUUGGGCCAUGUUUACCAGAGUUUGAUAAAAAAGAUCUGUUGCAUGCUAUAGGAGUUACUUUUGGAUGAGUACUUAGAUCUGAAAUUAUGGGUGAAUUCUGUCGCCUUAGGAUAAAAUUAAAUGUGCAGAAACCCCUCCGCAGGGGUAUAUUUGUUUCAACUGGUACAGGUCAUAAAUGCUGGAUCCCAUUCAAGUAUGAGAAGUUACCGACUUUUUACUUCGGGUGUGGCAGAGUGGGACAUGGUCUCCAUGAAUGCACAGAUAUUAUUCCUGAAAAAAAAGACAGAAUUAGAGAGAGUCCACCAUUCUCCUUGGCUUUAAAAGCAGAGUCAAAUUUGGUUGGCAGGGAGAGUCUAAAAUUUAAUGCUCUAUCAAAAAAAUUACAAUCACAAUGCUCAUAUAUAGGAAAUACUGAAGAAAAUCAGAGGGAGCACUUUUAUAAUGAAAAGAGAAGCAAUAUGAUGAAAGUAACACAAGCAGACUCUUUGGAAAAAUUACCAGGAGAAGAGAUAGAGAUUCAAAAGGAAGGAGAAAUUAAUGAGAAAGAAAUCGUGAGCAGUAAAGCAGAUGGAGAAGGAAUGAGAACGAUCAUGAAAGCCACUUGGAGAAGAUUAGAACCAGUAGAAGGAAUGAGACAAUAUGAGGAAGGAAGUAAACUGCAGAAGAGGAAAUUGGUAGAAAUCGUAGAUGAUGAUUAUGAAGAUACAACUAAAAGGAUGAAAUAUGAUUGCCAAACUCUGCUUAAUGAGGAUGAAACCAGUUUGUUGACAGAAGUUCCCGAACAGAAUAUAUCGACGGCUGCCAAAAGGCAAGCCUACCGGACACAAUGAAAAUCAUAUGCUGGAAUGUCCGUGGAUUAGGGAGUCCACGGGCAGUAAGAAAACUUCAGUUUUUACUGAAGCAAAAUAAUCCUCAGCUGGUCUUCCUUAUGGAGACUAAAGUUAGUGAGAAGCGAAUGGAGGAAAUUAGGAGGAGGUGUGGCUUUAUGAAUGGGCUGGAGGUAGGAGCAACAGGUUCACGUGGGGGAAUUUGCCUAGCAUGGCGUAAAGAGGUUCAGGUAAAACUCAAAACUCUCUCAACGAGUCAUAUGGACGUGCUGAUUAAAGAAGAAGGUGUUAAUGAAGAAUAAAGAUUCACAGGGUUUUAUGGAUCACCUUAUCCACAAAAUAAAAUUGCCUCAUGGGAUCUAUUAAGACUGUUGGGACAAGAACAAAAUUACCCUUGGCUUGUUAGUGGAGACUUUAAUGAAAUAACAUAUUCUUUUGAAAAAAAGGGAAGUCUGCCAAGGGAGGAAAAAAGAAUGGCAGAGUUUCGUAAGGUUUUAAAUGAAUGCCAACUUAUAGAUGUGGGAUACUCUAGAGCAUGGUACACAUGGGAGAGGGGAAAUUUAAUGGAAACGAAUAUCAGAGAGAGAAUUGACAGGGGUGUUGCGAAUGAGAAAUGGUUGGAGCUCUUUCCUGAAGGCAUUAUACAUCAUUUGACGUCUACACUUUCGGAUCACUGUCCCCUUUUAAUAAGCACAUCUAACGAAAAUAGAUUCAAAGGAACUUCAAUUUUCAAAUUCGAAGCAUGGUGGACCACAGAAGAAUCAUUUGAGGAGGAAAUUAAGAAGUCAUGGGAGUCUUCAAAUGGAUCAAUUCUUGAAAAGAUGGAAACACUACAGAUCAGUCUUUCAAAAUGGGCGAAAUCAAUAAAGAAGAAACAGAAGGGAUUGACGGCUAAGCUUUCAAAGGAGCUUGAGGACUUAAUGGAGGAAGAACGAGAUGAUGAUAUACUGGCAAAAAUAAUUGAUACGAAAAUUCACUUGAAUAUGGAGAUUGAUAAAGAGGAAAGGUAUUGGGAACAGAGAGCACGGGCUAAUUGGCUUAAGUUAGGGGAUAAGAAUACAGUAUUUUUUCAUAAAUAUGCCUCAAUGCGGAAAAGAAUUAAUACAAUAAGCAGGUUGGACACAGAUGAUGGAAUUGGAAUUCACGAGGAAUCAGAAAUUAAUAAGACUGCAACGAGCUAUUUCCAGAACCUUUUUUCGACGCAUGGAGUAGGAGAUCUAUCCCAUCUUUUAACAGGUAUCAAUAACAGUAUAUCUUCGAAAAUCAACCUAGCUCUACUGUCAUAAUAUACGUCAGAAGAAAUUUUUGCAGCACUCAAAGGAAUGGGAUCUACUAAAGCACCAGGAUUUGAUGGUUUUCCGGCAUUAUUCUUUCAGAAAUAUUGGCAUAUAGUUGGUAAAGAUAUUGGCGACUUUUGUUUGGGAGUUUUGAAUAAUGGAAAGGAUUUUGAAGGUUUAAAUCUAACUGAGAUCAUACUUAUACCGAAGACGUCCAAACCUACAAAUCUUGGUAAUUUCAGACCUAUCAGCCUAUGCACAGUUAUAUACAAAAUUAUAGCUAAAACAAUUGCGAAUCGUCUUCAAGAGUUUAUUGGCAGAUGUAUUGAUAAUGCCCAGAGUGCUUUCGUCCCAGGGAGAUUAAUAUCAGAUAAUGUAUUGAUAGCCUAUGAACUUCUACAUACUCUUUGCCAAAAAAGAACAGGGAAAAAAGGACUCAUGGCAAUAAAAUUGGACAUGAGUAAAGCUUACGACAGAGUUGAAUGGGCAUUCUUAAAGGAAGUUAUGAUCCGAAUGGGCUUUGCAGAGGAAUGGGUGUCAUUAAUCAUGAGGUGUAUUUCUACGGUCUCGUAUGCAGUAACUACUAAUGGGAGAAGAGGCAGUGAUUUUCAACCUACCAGAGGACUUCGACAAUGUGAUCCACUUAGCCCAUUUCUUUUUCUCAUUUGUAGCGAAGGACUCUCGGCCUUACUCAGGAUUGCUACAAGGGAGGGUCUGAUUAAAGGGGUAAAAGCUAGUAGAAGGGGACCGGCAAUUUCACACCUACUAUUUGCGGAUGACUGCAUUUUGUUUGGAGAAGCGAUAAAGAGUAAAACUGGGAUUUUAAAAGAUAUAUUGAAGGAAUAUGAGAGUUGCUCCGGCCAAUGUGUAAAUUUUGAUAAAUCCACGAUUUUUUUCAGUACUAAUACAGAGAAAGUGGAAAAAGAGAGCAUCUCAGCUGAAAUGGGAAUAAGGAAAUCGACAAAUAUAGAGAAAUAUUUGGGACUACCUAAUAUGAUAGGAAGGAAGAAGAAGGAGUCUUUUCAGAAUAUUAAGGAUAGAAUUAAACAGAGGAUUGAGAAUUGGAGUACACGUUUUUUAUCUCAAGGGGGAAAAGAGGUGUUCAUAAAGGCAGUACUUCAAUCAAUCCCAAGCUACGCUAUGACAUGUUUUUUGCUACCAAGAUCGUUUUGUGGGGAGCUUGAAAAUCUGUUUGCUAGAUUCUGGUGGCAAAAAGGUAAAGGCAGGAAAGGCAUUCACUGGUGCAAAUGGAGUGAUAUGUGUAGUCCUAAGGAGGAGGGAGGCAUGGGCUUCAGGAAUAUGGCGCAAUUUAACAUUUCUCUACUUGCUAAGCAAGGAUGGAGGAUCAUUAAUAAUCAAAAUGCUCUUGUUACUCAAGUUUUUAAAGCCAAAUAUUUCCCAGAUGGUCAUUUUUUAAAUUCCCAGUUAAAAAACUCUUGUUCUUAUGCAUGGAAAAGUAUCUGGGCAACUAAAGCCUUAUUGAGUAAGGGUCAAUGUUGGAGGGUGGGUACAGGUAACAGUAUAUCCAUUAACGAUUCUUGGAUUCCAGAUUCAGUUGAUUUUAAAAUUUCAUCAGAGUUAACUUCUAUGAGCGUGUCAAAAGUAAGUGAGCUAAUCGACAGUAAUGAAAGACGAUGGAAAAAAGAGCUGAUUAUGAAUACCUUCGCAGAAGUUGAUGCAGCACGAAUUCUCCGAAUUCCUCUAGCACGGACACCUCAUGAAGAUUUUCUUAUUUGGGGAGACGAGCCGUCGGGUGAUUUCACAAUCCGAAGUGCUUAUAAACUAUUACAGAGAAUGGAUGAAAAUCCUAGAGCUUAUGCUUUACAAACCAUCUACAAAAAAUUUUAUAAGCAACUAUGGAGCCUAAAUCUACCAUCUAAAGUGAAGGUUACUAUAUGGAGACUGUCAUGGAACUAUCUGCCUACAAAGGUAAAUUUGCAACACAGGAAACUAACUGCCAAUACAAGUUGUCCUCGAUGUGGCCAACGAGCUGAAACAAUGAAUCAUGUCUUUCGGGAAUGUCCUGUCACAGUUGAUAUAUGGAGAGCAUUAUCAUUUCAGAAUAUUUUGACGAAUCAAUGUGAGGACUUUAUACAGUGGCUUACAUGGGCGGUAGAGCAGCUCAACUCUCGUCAAAGUCAGAUCUUCUACUGCACACUUUGGACUGUAUGGGGAGACAGGAACAAAAGAGUACACGAAGGGAAAGUUAGCAAUGGAAAAGAUACUGCAAGUUUCAUAUAUAGCUACAUCAAAGAGUUAACUGACUUUGAAAACAGAGAUCUAAAAAAAGGAAAAGAAAUCAGAAAAUGGAUGUACCCAUAGAGAGAGUUUGUCAAGAUAAACUUUGACGGCGCAUAUAAAGAAACCCAGAAUCGGUCAGCUUCAGACAUUGUGGUUCGAGAUUCGGAAGGACAUGUUCUUUUAUCUUACUCAAAAAUUCACGAUGGUGUUUCGUCUCCUUUUGCUGCUGAAGCCAUGCAUGCUGGACAGCAGUCAAAAUAGGUAUUGACAAGGGCUGGCAGUCACUCAUUUUUGAAGGCGAUUCCCUCGCAAUCAUCAAAAGAUGCAACACAAAAGAACAAGAUCGAUCAAUGGUAGGAACAUACAUCUAUGAUAUUCAGAAGAAAAUUUUCGGCUUAAGAAAUAUCAGUUUUCAACAUACAUUAAGAUCUGCGAACAACCUUGCUCAUAUUUUAGCAACGGCAACGCUAAGAAGUGGAGAGGAAGUUUACCUGGAGAUGGAAGUCCCUGAAUAUGCUGAAGAUCAGGAAAGGCAAGACAGGAUGAGAGAGCCAAACUAGAAGUUUCAGAUGAUGAAAAGGUAAGAGAGGAAGUUUUUUCAGACCACUAAGAAAAUGAAAAGAUGCAUAUGGUUUGCUUUUUGAAAAUGAAAUCGUCAAAAG
rnacentral:lncRNA from 1 species